rnacentral:rRNA from 1 species
UGGGGAAUCUUGGACAAUGGGGGCAACCCUGAUCCAGCGAUGCCGCGUGAGCGAUGAAGGCCUUAGGGUUGUAAGGCUCUUUCACCGGUGACGAUAAUGACGGUAGCCGGAGAAGAAGCCCCGGCUAACUGCGUGGCAGCAGCCGCGGUAAUACGGAGGGGGCUAGCGUUGUUCGGAAUUACUGGGCGUAAAGCGCGCGUAGGCGGAUCAGUUAGUCAGGGGUGAAGUCCCGGGGCUCAACCCCGGAACUGCCUUUGAUACUGCUGGUCUUGAGGUCGAGAGAGGUGAGUGGAAUUCCGAGUGUAGAGGUGAAAUCCGUAGAUAUUCGGAGGAACACCAGUGGCGAAGGCGGCUCACUGGCUCGAACCUGACGCUGAGGUGCGAAAGCGUGGGGAGCAAACAGGAUUAGAUACCCGCGUAGUCC